AUUGUACGCUGGCGGCAGGCUUAACACAUGCAAGUCGAGCGGGGUGAUGGUGCUUGCACUAUCACUUAGCGGCGGACGGGUGAGUAAUGCUUAGGAAUCUGCCUAUUAGUGGGGGACGACAUCUCGAAAGGGAUGCUAAUACCGCAUACGUCCUACGGGAGAAAGCAGGGGAUCACUUGUGACCUUGCGCUAAUAGAUGAGCCUAAGUCGGAUUAGCUAGUUGGUGGGGUAAAGGCCUACCAAGGGGACGAUCUGUAGCGGGUCUGAGAGGAUGAUCCGCCACACUGGGACUGAGACACGGCCCAGACUCCUACGGGAGGCAGCAGUGGGGAAUAUUGGACAAUGGGGGGAACCCUGAUCCAGCCAUGCCGCGUGUGUGAAGAAGGCCUUAUGGUUGUAAAGCACUUUAAGCGAGGAGGAGGCUCUUUUGGUUAAUACCCAAGAUGAGUGGACGUUACUCGCAGAAUAAGCACCGGCUAACUCUGUGCCAGCCGCCGCCGUAACAC
rnacentral:rRNA from 1 species